GCGGCCGCCGUGACCUCGGUUGCCUCCCGGGGCCACCCCGCUGCCUCCCCAGCCUUGCCGCGCCUCAGCGACUUUCGGCGCCGCCGGAGCUUCCGCCGCAUCGCGGGCGCCGAGAUCCAGAUGGUCAUCUUACUCAUUGCCACCUCCCUGGUGGUGCUCAUCUGCUCCAUCCCGCUCGUGGCAAACUGGAAGUGGAGUCAUAAAACAACUGAUGGGAUGUCAGAUGAGUGUGAAGCACAU
rnacentral:sRNA from 1 species